rnacentral:rRNA from 1 species
UACGUAGGUGACGAGCGUUGUCCGGAUUUACUGGGCGUCAAGAGCGCGCAGGCGGUCGUUCAAGUCGAGUGUGAAAGCCCCCGGCUCAACUGGGGAGGGUCACUCGAUACUGAUCGACUCGAAGGCAGGAGAGGGUAGUGGAAUUCCCGGUGUAGUGGUGAAAUGCGUAGAUAUCGAGAGGAACACCUGCGGCGAAGGCGGGUUGCUGGGCUGAUACUGACGCUGAGGCGCGAAAGCCAGGGGAGCGAACGGG